AAUAGAUACCCUGGUAGUCCCAGCCGUAAACGAUGCUCGCUAGGUGUCAGGCAUGGCGCGACCGUGUCUGGUGCCGCAGGGAAGCCGUGAAGCGAGCCACCUGGGAAGUACGGCCGCAAGGCUGAAACUUAAAGGAAUUGGCGGGGGAGCACAACAACGGGUGGAGCCUGCGGUUUAAUUGGACUCAACGCCGGACAACUCACCGGGGGCGACAGCAAUAUGUAGGCCAAGCUGAAGAUUUUGCCUGAAUCGCUGAGAGGAGGUGCAUGGCCGUCGCCAGUUCGUACUGUGAAGCAUCCUGUUAAGUCAGGCAACGAGCGAGACCCGUGCCCACUGUUACCAGCAUGUCCUCCGGGACGAUGGGUACUCUGUGGGGACCGCCGAUGUUAAAUCGGAGGAAGGUGCGGGCCACGGUAGGUCAGUAUGCCCCGAAUCUCCCGGGCUACACGCGGGCUACAAUGGAUGGGACAAUGGGUCCCUCCCCUGAAAAGGGCUGGUAAUCUCACAAACCCAUUCGUAGUUCGGAUCGAGGGCUGUAAC
rnacentral:rRNA from 1 species